rnacentral:rRNA from 1 species
AGAUUGAACAUAAGAGUUUGAUCCUGGCUCAGAUUGAACGCUGGCGGCAUGCUUUACACAUGCAAGUCGGACGGCAGCACAGAGAAGCUUGCUUCUCGGGUGGCGAGUGGCGAACGGGUGAGUAACAUAUCGGAACGUACCGAGUAGUGGGGGAUAACUGAUCGAAAGAUCAGCUAAUACCGCAUACGUCUUGAGAGAGAAAGCAGGGGACUUUCGGGCCUUGCGCUAUUCGAGCGGCCGAUAUCUGAUUAGCUGGUUGGUGGGGUAAAGGCCUACCAAGGCGACGAUCAGUAGCGGGUCUGAGAGGAUGAUCCGCCACACUGGGACUGAGACACGGCCCAGACUCCUACGGGAGGCAGCAGUGGGGAAUUUUGGACAAUGGGCGCAAGCCUGAUCCAGCCAUGCCGCGUGUCUGAAGAAGGCCUUCGGGUUGUAAAGGACUUUUGUCAGGGAAGAAAAGGCUGUUGCUAAUACCAGCGGCCGAUGACGGUACCUGAAGAAUAAGCACCGGCUAACUACGUGCCAGCAGCCGCGGUAAUACGUAGGGUGCGAGCGUUAAUCGGAAUUACUGGGCGUAAAGCGGGCGCAGACGGUUACUUAAGCAGGAUGUGAAAUCCCCGGGCUCAACCCGGGAACUGCGUUCUGAACUGGGUGACU